UCGGAUCCCGCGUUGCUGUGGUUCUGGCGUAGGCCGGUGGCUACAGCUCCGAUUCGACCCCUAGCCUGGGAACCUCCAUAUGCCGAGGCCCAAGAAAUAGCAAAAAGACAAAAAAAAAAAAAAAAGAACCUGACGUAGUCUCCGUUGAGGAAGUGGCCUCGCUCAGUGGGUUAAGGAUCUGGCAUUGCCACUGUGAGCUGUGGUGUAGGUCGCAGUUGCGGCUCAGAUCUGGUAUAGCUGUGGCUCUGGCAUAGGCCAGCAGCUGCAGCUCAGAUUUGAUCCCCAGCCUGGGAACUUCCAUAUGCCACAAGUGUGGCCAUAAAAAGAAAAUACAUCCUAAUUUCAAUAAUGGUCUUCUUCUUCCUACAAUUUCCAUCACAUUUUAAAAUGUUCCUUCAAUCUGUCCAGUUUCUGGGUGACUCACUAUUACGUUUUUCUUAGUAAAGGAGGAAACUUGUAUUUCCUGUUAGCAGGAUAUUUUUCCCCUGAAUUUGCCACCUAAUUACACUGUUUUUUCUCCUUUUUGUUCAGUACAGCAUGAUGGGGCAAGAAAAAGCCAGGCCAGACGCACUUGCUGUGAUGUGUUCAUAUCUGAGAGAAUCUGACAUUGUUGGGGGAUGGAGGCCCUGGAGUUUUCAAAUACUGAAUGACUGGUGUUGACCUUUAGCUGGCCAUGUUCUCUGUGCCAGAGCCAAGAACAAUCCACAGGUAUUAUUGACUUAGUGAUUUAAAGCUGCCAAAGAGGAUCCGGGAUGGAACCAACAUAGGGAUGCAGGUCUGUAAAAAGGAUAAAAUUAAACAUUGUACAGAAGUGGCCUUGUGCUUUCACAGCCUCCACAUUAGUAGAUAAAAACCAUCUUAUUUCUACUUUAUAGACACGAAACUGAAGGAAUAAGGAAACAAGUAUAUCCAGCAUUUAUUAUUUUUAACAGAAGCACAGUGAUGAGUUUUGGAACAUACAGAGAAAUAAGCUAAAGUCAAUACCCUCCAAGCAGUCACAAACUAGUGGACAGGGCUGACUGUGAAAAACACAAUAAUAAAGACACACAAUACAAUAGGAGGAUGACGUCU
rnacentral:lncRNA from 1 species